rnacentral:lncRNA from 1 species
CAGACAGUGCAGAUAUGCUGGACAAAGGAAGGAGCCCUUCCCCAGGUCGGACAAAGCAGCCCAGCACGCAAAUGCAUCAGCCUACUCAAAACAGCUUGCAAUUUCAAACCUGCCAAUUGUUUAUUUUUGGAAUUUUCCACUUAACAUUUUCAGACUGCAGUUGACUGCAAGGAAACGAAAAUUAUGUGGUUAUACAAGGGUUUUUGGAAAGAAACACAGACAAAAUAAAGACACUGCACUAAGCUGGCUGCACCAACUUAAAUUUCAAGGGGGCUGCAUCCUAAUGACACAUCAUGGAGGAGAUGAAGAUGUAACAAUUAAAUCCAGCUAAUCAGGGGACAUGAAUAUUUCAGUGCACGCUAAAUACUGAUGUGAUUCCCCAGGCGGAAACUCCCACAGAGAAUUCUAUGAACAUGAAUAAAAGGGUUCUCUGAC